UCCGUUGUAGUCUAGUUGGUUAGGAUACUCGGCUCUCACCCGGGUUUAAGUCCCGGCAACAGAA